GGGCUUGUAGCUCAGGGACUAGAGGAUCUGCCUUGCAUGCAGGAGGUCCCUGGUUCAGUCCCUGGCAUCUCCA